UGCGUAGGCGGCCUGAUAAGUCAAGUGUGAAAUACCCGGGCUCAACCUGGGUGGUGCACGUGAAACUGUCGGGCUUGAGUGCAGGAGAGGGAAGUGGAAUUCCUAGUGUAGCGGUGAAAUGCGUAGAUAUUAGGAGGAACACCAGUGGCGAAGGCGGCUUCCUGGACUGUAACUGACGCUGAGGCACGAAAGCGUGGGGAGCAAACAG
rnacentral:rRNA from 1 species